UUUCUUGAUGAUAUGGGCACUUUUUAUUUUGGAACUAGUACUACUAGCUUGUGUGAGUGCAGUGGCUCUGUGUGGUGCUUGUUUGCUUGUGCAUGAGAAUCAAGUUUCAUUGACAUAAUGAGAGCUACAUUUAUAGCCUGUAAGAUCUCCAAGCUAGACUGCAAGAAUAAAGAAACAGAAAGCUAGUUUGUUUUGUUCUAGUAAAAACUAAUGCAGAAAUGUGUUACAGCUGCAUGGUACAUAUAGUGUUGCACCGAUGUCUUAUUGAUAUUCACUGCAUUUUAAGGUGUUUGAAUUGGUGUUGUAUAAUUUAUGAGUAGAUGCUGGUAAAGUUCACAUUGAGCCAAAAUUCUCUUUUUUCA